GCCCAGGACCUCCCCGCCCGGCCCCGCGCCAGAGCCCCGCCUCGCCCUCCAGCCGCAGCCGGGCCUGGCCGCCUGCUGCGCCCGCUUGCGCCCGGGACCCGCGCCAUUUCCUGCGGCUGUGCGCGCACCUCGACUGCACGCCCGAUAUCUGGGCGCUGCACCACUGGAGCGUCUGGCUCACCCCUUUCUCGCGCCUCGCAACUCGCCUCUUGGACGCGGCCUUCUUCCUAUGCUGCCUGCGCGAGCCGCCGCCAGUCUACUCCGACUUGGCGGAGGUGGUGGGCUGCCAGUGGUCAUCUCCAUCAAAGGCAACUGAAAGUUUCUUAUCAAAAGAAAUUUGGCUGGCACCCCCACAGUUCUACGAAAUGAGAAGACUUGAAAAUUUUGCCUCUCUCUGAUUUGCACAAAUUUUGUUUGGAUCGUGCAUUAGAAGGACUGGAAAGAUGGCUGCCGAUCACCUUGUUAACUGCUGAUGGGAUGCUCUAGCUUUUACCAGGUGAUGAGCUAUACUUAGAAUAUUCAGACUUUUUAGAAAAUCUUUUGUCUGCUGAAAAAAAGACUGAAGAAAUCAUAAAGGAAGGCAAGCAAUUUCACUGGAAAGUGAUAUACAAUCGCCAUCUUUAUGAUACUCACGUGACUGUUCAAAGUAUAAACACGUUUAUCCUAAGAACUCCGUAGUAAG
rnacentral:lncRNA from 10 species